GUGGUUUUUUUGGUAAGUCUCCAAAAGCCUUGGUUUGUUAGGACUGAUCCUUGUGCAACUCAAAACAUAAGGUCUGUCUUCUCUUUCGGGCUGGGUUCCUACUGGACAAUCAAGACCCAUUUCAAAGGAUUCCUACAUCGUGAAGGCCUCGCCAACGUUUGCAGCAUGAGUCAUGUCAGCAUCUCUGCCACACGCGCACCUUAGCCCUCGUCACACCCAACCUAUGAAGCAAAAUCAGCCUGGACAAAGCACUUGGCUCUGGGCCACAGCUCUGUACUGUUUGCUUCUGAGCUGAAGAAACUAUUCUUCACUGGACGCUAUUUCUACCUGGAAGACCCGGGUGUAAACUGUUAUUCACAGUAACCGGCCUGUGUUUUCUCAGAAGUUAGCAAAGCAAGUCUGCCUGUCUUCGCAACAAAAGCAGCUGAUGGUGUUUAUGGCCAGGGAUAAACGUGCAGGACACCAGUCACCGGAACGCAGAGAAACAAGGUCUCUGGCCUCAUGGAACUCCCCAUCUAGGUUGGAAUGACACAAGCAUUUCCGGAAGCACCCAAAUCAACACAUGAAAGCAUACCAAGCCAAGGAAAGACAGAAGAGGCCAAUGAGAAAGACUUGAUUAUGGGGCUUUAGGAACUGUGUGGUCAGGAGAGCUGUGUCCACCCGCCCCCCCCACCUUCAUAUCCCAUAUAUUUGCAUGCCUAGUCUCCUAGUCUCCCGCUGAUAGACUGUUUGGAAGAGGCGUGGCCUUGUUGGAGUAGGCGAUGUGUCAAAAACCCACACCAGUUCCACGCUUCCCCUUCAUGCUGUUUACAGAUCAGGAUGUAAAGCUCUCAGCUACUUCUCCAGCACCAUGCUUACCUGAGUGCUGCCAUGCUGCCUGUUAUGAUGAUAAUUAACUAAGUCUCUGAAACUGUAACCCAGUCUCCAAUUAAAAGCUUUCCUUUGGAAGAAUCGCCUUGAUCUCC